rnacentral:rRNA from 1 species
AGAGUUUGAUCAUGGCUCAGAUUGAACGCUGGCGGCAUGCCUUACACAUGCAAGUCGAACGGCAGCGCGGGGCAACCUGGCGGCGAGUGGCGAACGGGUGAGUAAUAUAUCGGAACGUACCCUGGAGUGGGGGAUAACGUAGCGAAAGUUACGCUAAUACCGCAUACGAUCUAAGGAUGAAAGUGGGGGAUCGCAAGACCUCAUGCUCCUGGAGCGGCCGAUAUCUGAUUAGCUAGUUGGUGGGGUAAAGGCCUACCAAGGCAUCGAUCAGUAGCUGGUCUGAGAGGACGACCAGCCACACUGGAACUGAGACACGGUCCAGACUCCUACGGGAGGCAGCAGUGGGGAAUUUUGGACAAUGGGCGAAAGCCUGAUCCAGCAAUGCCGCGUGAGUGAAGAAGGCCUUCGGGUUGUAAAGCUCUUUUGUCAGGGAAGAAACGGUGAGGGCUAAUAUCCCUUGCUAAUGACGGUACCUGAAGAAUAAGCACCGGCUAACUACGUGCCAGCAGCCGCGGUA